ensembl:lncRNA
UGAAAAACAAGGUCUCUCAGCUACACAGCUGAUGUCAGAUGAUUCAACCUGAAAUGAUGAGGAUGAGAAUGUUUAAAAGAAAGUUCAGAAAGUUCAAAGGGUUCAAAGUUCAGAAAGAUCAAAAACAAUGGAAAUCUGUCAAUGACCAGGACAUGAAGCAGAGACAAGUAAGACUGGCACAAAGGAGAGAAUGAAACCUAAUAAAGGGCAGGAAAGGCACAUGAGGAUAUGAGUGAGACAGGCGCAAAGCAGAGGAGCUUGAAGGCAAAACAGGGACACAGAUGAAGAGUAACAGGGAUACAGACAGAGAAAAAGAAGAUAGGGAGAAAGAGAAGUGAGAAAACAACAGGGGAAAAGACAGAUGAACAACAUCACCUUCUAUCAGUGAGCCCUGGCUGAACAAGGUUGGGUUCUAUACUGCUGCUCACCACUAUUCUCUGAUAUGAAGACGACAACAGUCAUGGCCGAUCACAGCUGCUCACCAUCAUUGACACCAGCAUCCCCACACACAUGAUCUUCAUCCAGGCAGCUCUCUCUCUCUCUCUCUCUCUCUCUCUCUCUCUCUCUCUCUCUCUCUCUCUCUCUCUCUCUCUCUCUCUCUCUCUCUCUCUCUCUCUCUCUCUCUCUCUCUCUCUCUCUCUCUCUCUCUCUCUCUCUCUCUCUCUCCUGUCACUCACUCACACUGAACCACUGCUUUGCCUGUCUCUCACUCACACACACAGCCACUGUUAUUCCUGUCCACACACAAAAUCUUUUCAUUGGUCCUGUUUAAAUGUAAAUUGUGGUUUUCAUAGACUCAUAUCCAUUUUGUAUUUUAGUUCUGUUAAGUGCAAGAUCAUUUUGUAUCUCUGGCAGAGAAUGGAAAUUUUAAUCUCUCUCUCUCUCUCUCUCUCUCUCUCUCUCUCUCUCUCUCUCUC